AGCCUAUUAGCUCAACUGGCCGAGCACCAUUAAACUUGCGCGGAGAUGUAGGUUCAAAUCUUACAUAAGCUA
rfam:Spinacia oleracea cultivar SynViroflay scaffold65948.con0001.1, whole genome shotgun sequence.